GCCGAUGUGGCGGAACUGGCAGACGCGCUGCGUUCAGGGCGCAGUGGGCAUUGGCCCGUGGGGGUUCGAAUCCCUCCAUCGGCA
rnacentral:tRNA from 3 species